GGUGAGUCCUACCGGAGCGGUCUCCUACCCGAACUCGGUUACCUUCACUUGUAACUCGGGAUACACACUGAACGGUGCUACUGGUUCGACGUGCCAAGCUGGCGGAACGUGGAGUAAUCCUGUCCACACAUGCACAGCGGUACAAUGUCCGGCUCGGGCGGCCCCAGCUAACGGAGCGGUGAGUCCUACCGGAGCGGUCUCCUACCCGAACUCGGUCACCUUCAGCUGUAACUCGGGUUACACACUGAACGGCGUCGCUACUCCGACGUGCCGAGCUGACGGAACAUGGAGUAGUCCUGUUCCAACAUGCCAAGCGGUCCAAUGUCCGGCUCGGGCGGCCCCAGCUAAC